CCCCUCCCGCCCCGGCGGGCCUGAGUCACCCUCGCCGUGCGUCACACUUGCUCCUCCCGCCACGCGACCUGCAAACUCACCCUGAGUCAGCCCGCCCGGGCGCUUCCACUCCCGGGGCCGCGGCCAGCGCCGGCGGAGGGGCGCCCCCCAGCGGAGACCCGUGAUCGCGCGGGUCGCGGGCGCCGGGGGAGCGGGGCGUGUGCGGGUGGAGACCGCGGGGACCGGCCGGACCACUGCGGGCCCGGGGGAGGCGCCUGCCUGCGGCCCCCGCCGGCGGCGCUGAGUGGUACGGCCCGGCCGGAGGUGAGGCCCGGGAGGCGGCGGGGCUAGCGGCGACCGCGCGAUGGGGCUGCGCGCUGGCGGCAGGACCGGCGCCAGCCGGGGGGCGCCCGAGGGUCCCGGGUCGGGCGGCGGCGCGCAGGGCGGCAGCAUCCACUCGGGCUGCAUCGCUGCGGUGCACAACGUGCCGCUGAGCGUGCUCAUCCGUCCACUGCCGUCGGUGCUGGACCCGGCCAAGGUGCAGAGCCUGGUGGACACGAUCCGGGUGCCAGACCCUGGCUUACAGGGCUGGACAGCCCUGCCCUGGAGAGCUCACCGUCUAGCGCUGGAUGCGAGCACCCUGAAAUACAGUGGAAAACAACCCCCUUCUCUGCCAUUGGGAAGCCGGCCGAUUCCAAAUGCCAGGGUGACGUGGGCAGAGGGGCCCCUCAUGCCCUGCUGAUGGGCGUGUGGACAGGGACAGUCAUGGUACGGUGCAGUUAGGUGAUACUGGGCUACGGAUGUGUAUUCUCUGGGCCCCACUCAUCCUGCCCUGGGUGCGGAUUCUGCAUAACACGCUCAGGAGCCCCUGAGAGUCACGCACCAGCCUUUGCUUUAGGAGGAGGAAGCUGCAGGUAACCAGCAUCCAGUCCCUCGCCACAGAAUGGGAAGAGGAGGCUGGUGAUCUGCAAACACCAAGCAGAUGAGAGUCAGCAAUCAGAAGCAACACACUCUGGGUAGACUCCGCACAGUGAGCGAUGCGGAGGACACAAAAUAAAACAAAAUAGCCUAAGAGAAAGAUCUAUGGAAACUACCACGGUGUAUAUUCAUGACCCGCUCACACAAAUGAGCACCAUCUAUGUUUUAUAAAGACCCACACACAUCGGAAGACAUGUACCCUGAAUAUUAGCAUGGACCUGUGCGCAUUGCAAUUUGGGAGGCUGAGGCAGGAGGAUCAAGAGUUUGAGGCCAGCCUCAGCAGCUAAGCAAGACCCUGUCUCAAAAUAAAAUAUAAAAAGGGCUGGGGAUCUAGCUCCGUGGUAGUUCAAUCUCCAGUUCCACCCACCUCCCCCAGCCCCCCAAAAAGAAAGAAAGAAAAGUAAGAAAGAGAGAAAGAAAGUAGCAUGGGUCCUGUGGGAGAUGGGAGGGGAUUCAGGAUGGAGGUAGUCACCGUGUGACGUGAUGCACACUACGAGACUUUUCCCCAGGACACAGGGACAAGAGCUACCGAGAAGCCACCAGGGACCUUGGCGGGGGAUCAGGGCUGUCUGGUCUGAGGCAAGGGGACUGGCCUCACCUGGGAAGGACAGCCAGGACAAAGACUCAGAAGUGUGCAAAGCUGGUUCUUUCAAGAAAACACAAGUGCCUCCGUAGCACAGAAGCUGGGGUGCCCACGACCCAGCGGGAGGGCAGUCCUGUGCUGGCCCGGUGGCCUGUAGGGCCCUCCUCUUCUUGCUCAGCAGACUCCCACUCAGUUCCCAGGAGCCUGUGGGCUGCCACAGAGGUGACGUCACGGGGAAGACACAAGAGCUCUGCAGCCAGGCCAACUUGCCCCCACCCGUCCUCUGUCCCACCUUGGGCAAGUCCCUCUCUCCUUGCCGAACCUCAGUUUCUCCGUCUGAAAAAUGGCAGAACCACAACACCCACCUCAGAAGGUUGCCAUGAGCAGGAAGGAGGGUGGCCGUCGUGACCUGGGAGGCAGCUGCUUGAAGGUGAGGGGAGUGGCCCCCCUUCGAGGGCCACGGAGAUGAGCCAGGGCCCCUGCGGAAUUUGCUCCAAACAGGACACCCAAGGAGGCCGGGAGUCAGCCAUUGGCUGCACAGGGGAGAAGACCCCAGAAGCCAAACCCACCCCUUUGUGUAGGGACCAGGGACAACGGCCGGGCAGGGCCUUUGGGACGUCUCCACUCCACCCUGGAGAGCUGUGAGGACCCAUUCAGCCCACUGAGGCCUGGCGGGUCAGAGACAAGGUGGAACUUUGGGGAAAAGACUGUUGGUGACAGAGGUGUCUGCGUGUCUGUGUGUGAGUGUGGCGUGUGUGAGCGAGAAUUGGUAGCUUAAGAUAAAAGUAUUUUUAAAUAAAAGAUGCCGUUCCCAGCUGAGGAA